GCUUGCUCUCGGGUGACGAGCGGCGGACGGGUGAGUAAUGUCUGGGAAACUGCCUGAUGGAGGGGGAUAACUACUGGAAACGGUAGCUAAUACCGCAUAACGUCGCAAGACCAAAGUGGGGGACCUUCGGGCCUCAUGCCAUCAGAUGUGCCCAGAUGGGAUUAGCUAGUAGGUGGGGUAACGGCUCACCUAGGCGACGAUCCCUAGCUGGUCUGAGAGGAUGACCAGCCACACUGGAACUGAGACACGGUCCAGACUCCUACGGGAGGCAGCAGUGGGGAAUAUUGCACAAUGGGCGCAAGCCUGAUGCAGCCAUGCCGCGUGUAUGAAGAAGGCCUUCGGGUUGUAAAGUACUUUCAGCGGGGAGGAAGGCGAUAAGGUUAAUAACCUUGUCGAUUGACGUUACCCGCAGAAGAAGCACCGGCUAACUCCGUGCCAGCAGCCGCGGUAAUACGGAGGGUGCAAGCGUUAAUCGGAAUUACUGGGCGUAAAGCGCACGCAGGCGGUCUGUCAAGUCGGAUGUGAAAUCCCCGGGCUCAACCUGGGAACUGCAUUCGAAACUGGCAGGCUAGAGUCUUGUAGAGGGGGGUAGAAUUCCAGGUGUAGCGGUGAAAUGCGUAGAGAUCUGGAGGAAUACCGGUGGCGAAGGCGGCCCCCUGGACAAAGACUGACGCUCAGGUGCGAAAGCGUGGGGAGCAAACAGGAUUAGAUACCCUGGUAGUCCACGCCGUAAACGAUGUCGAUUUGGAGGUUGUGCCCUUGAGGCGUGGCUUCCGGAGCUAACGCGUUAAAUCGACCGCCUGGGGAGUACGGCCGCAAGGUUAAAACUCAAAUGAAUUGACGGGGGCCCGCACAAGCGGUGGAGCAUGUGGUUUAAUUCGAUGCAACGCGAAGAACCUUACCUGGUCUUGACAUCCACAGAACUUAGCAGAGAUGCUUUGGUGCCUUCGGGAACUGUGAGACAGGUGCUGCAUGGCUGUCGUCAGCUCGUGUUGUGAAAUGUUGGGUUAAGUCCCGCAACGAGCGCAACCCUUAUCCUUUGUUGCCAGCGGUUAGGCCGGGAACUCAAAGGAGACUGCCAGUGAUAAACUGGAGGAAGGUGGGGAUGACGUCAAGUCAUCAUGGCCCUUACGACCAGGGCUACACACGUGCUACAAUGGCAUAUACAAAGAGAAGCGACCUCGCGAGAGCAAGCGGACCUCAUAAAGUAUGUCGUAGUCCGGAUUGGAGUCUGCAACUCGACUCCAUGAAGUCGGAAUCGCUAGUAAUCGUAGAUCAGAAUGCUACGGUGAAUACGUUCCCGGGCCUUGUACACACCGCCCGUCACACCAUGGGAGUGGGUUGCAAAAGAAGUAGGUAGCUUAAC
rnacentral:rRNA from 1 species